AUACGGAAGGUCCGGGCGUUAUCCGGAUUUAUUGGGUUUAAAGGGAGCGCAGGCGGAGAUGCAAGCGUGACGUCAAAUUUCGGGGCUCAACCCCGUCUCGCGUCGCGAACUGCGUCCCUUGGUUGCGGGAAGGGGAGGCGGAACUCGUGGUGUAGCGGUGAAAUGCAUAGAUAUUACGAAGAACUCCGAUCGCGAAGGCAGCCUUCCGGCCCGUCAACGACGCUCAUGCUCGAAGGUGCGGGUAUCAAACAGGAUUAGAUACCCUGGUAGUCCGCACAGUAAACGAUGGACACCCGCGGUUUGGCCUGUAUGGCUGAGCCGCCAAGCGAAAGCGUUAAGUGUCCCACCUGGGGAGUACGCCGGCAGCGGUGAAACUCAAAUGAAUUGACGGGG
rnacentral:rRNA from 1 species